GAAAAAUGGUUAAUGGCAAGAGAAGAAAGGUAAAGAGAAAAGAAGAAAACAGCCAAGUCAAAAAGUAAAGAAUAACUCGAAGGAAGGAGUGGAUGGCAAGAAAUACAGGGAAAGCAAUGCAUAGCACAGCAAAGCAAAGCAAGGCAAAAUAGCAGCCAAAGCCACGAGAAUCAAGAAGUCAGUGAAGAGCAGGAAAGGAAUGGAGGAAUCUGGCCAGAGCUGUGCCCCUGCUUGCCACAGGAGCUGCGCGGGAGGAGAAGAAUGUGGGCCAAAAGGAAUGGAGGAAUCUGGCCAGAGCUGUGCCCCUGCUUGCCACAGGAGCUGCGCAGGAG
rnacentral:lncRNA from 1 species